UACGUAGGCAGCAAGCGUUGUUCGGAGUUACUGGGCGUAAAGGGUGUGUAGGCGGUUAUUUAAGUUUGGUGUGAAAUCUCCCGGCUCAACCGGGAGGGUGCGCCGAAUACUGAAUGACUUGGAGUGCGGGAGAGGAAAGUGGAAUUCCUGGUGUAGCGGUGAAAUGCGUAGAUAUCAGGAGGAACACCGGUGGUGUAGACGGCUUUCUGGGCCGUAACUGACGCUGAGACACGAAAGCGUGGGUAGCAAACAGG
rnacentral:rRNA from 1 species